GUAGAAAAAAGGAAGGCGACGAAGUUGACACUUCAAACGAAUCCGGACGAGUCAAAUUCAGUACAAAAAUGUGUGUUUUGUGUGCUUCGAUGUAUAUAUACAGUUGUGGUCGAUGACACUUGAGAGAAGAAGAACAAACUGGCAAUGAAGAAAACAAAACAAGUGUUUCUUCGACUUCUACCUUUGAUGCUUCUUAUAUGCCUAGUCUUUCAGGUUCGUGUCACAGAGGCUAGAUUCCGCCACCUAGGCGAGGAAAGGAUUGGCGCAACACCCUCCAUUCCUUGCGGAGAUUCUCCUCAAAGACGUGAAGUUACAGGAAUAAGGAACAGGCACUGUAGGACUCCUCGUAGGAUUUCAAGACCUCCUCGUGUUAAUCAUUGAUCUCCGUCCAAGAGAUGGCAACGUUGAAUAUGAACCACGAAUAAAAACUCUACUGUUCAGUUUAUUCAUUCCAAAUAAUUGUUGCUAGUUUUGCUAAAGACUAUCGCUUAAUUGAGACAUUUUAGUUUCUGAUCUAAA